UACGUAGGGGCAGCAGUCGUUCGGAUCGAAUUGUGGCGUAAAGAGCUCGUAGGCGGUUUGUCGCGUCUGCCGUGAAAAGCCCGGGGCUUAACCCCGGGUCCGCAUUCGAUACGGGCGUAGCUAGAGUGUGGUAGGGGAGAUCGGAAUUCCUGGUGUAGCGGUGAAAUGCGCAGAUAUCAGGAGGAACACCGGUGGCGAAGGCGGAUCUCUGGGCCAUUACUGACGCUGAGGAGCGAAAGCGUGGGGAGCGAACAGG
rnacentral:rRNA from 1 species